GCAGCUGUGGCCGAGUGGUUAAGGCGAUGGACUCGAAAUCCGGUAAGGAUACUCCCCACGUAGUUCGAAAUCCCUACCAGCUACG